AAUCAACGCUGGCGGCGUGCCUCAGACAUGCAAGUCGAACGAUUAAGACUUCCAUCGGGAAGUGCAUAAAGUGGCGCACGGGUGAGUAACACGUAAGUAAUCUACCCUCGAGUGGGGAAUAACGUUCGGAAACGAACGCUAAUACCGCAUAACGCAGCGGCACCGCAAGGUGACAGUUGUUAAAGGAGUAAUUCGCUUGAGGAGGAGCUUGCGGCAGAUUAGCUAGUUGGUAAGGUAACGGCUUACCAAGGCUACGAUCUGUAUCCGGUCUAAGAGGACGGUCGGACACACUGACACUGAAUAACGGGUCAGACUCCUACGGGAGGCAGCAGUCGGGAAUUUUGGGCAAUGGGCGAAAGCCUGACCCAGCAACGCCGCGUGAAGGAUGAAGUAUUUCGGUAUGUAAACUUCGAAAGAAUGGGAAGAAUAAAUGACGGUACCAUUUAUAAGCUCCGGCUAACUACGUGCCAGCCGCCGCCGUAA
rnacentral:rRNA from 1 species